UAUACCCGCGCGUGCGGUGCGCCAGAAACUGAGAACUGUAGGUAAAUACGUAGGCGGCAGUGGAGGAUGGUGGGCCAUUGCGACGCGGCAGAGUAGACGGCCGUCAGUCGUCGGGCAGGAGAGCCGUGGAUCAGAAUCGGCGUUCCCAUCUGAUCCAUGGAUCGGAAAGUUUGCUUUUCCGUCUAAUGGCUGCAGACCGGAAUUGAAUGCAGGACCGAGAGUCCUCUCGUCUAGGGCGUGGGUCAUUUGGAAGCUGAGGAAUGCGGGGAUAGAGGGAAGGAGCGCCGGCGGCGAGACACCAUGGAGUUUCUGAUGCAGCCCAUCGGCAGUUUCAGAUCCACUCUGCUUGACGAGGUAGGCAUAGUUUGGUGCCGGCUCCUGCGGCUCUGGGGUGGGGGAUUUUGAGGUGGCACAGCCGGUGGAGCGCGAGGCGGCGCAGCAUCGGAAGGUGGACAGUGCCAUAGUGGCGAGGCACAAGUCUUCUUGGGGAAGGAGACGACGGCGGACAGAAGAGAGAGCUCGCUGCUGACAUGCGAGCUGUCAACGAGGAAAAUGAACCUCCAAGCCCCUGGGUGGAAAAAGAGGUUGAUUGCUGUCUGCAACCAGAAAAUUCAUGCUAUAUGUGCCUCUGUUUGCAGGGUGAUUGCUCUCUACAGUCAGAAAAUUCCUGUGUUUGCAGGCUGAGGAUUGGUGUUGCUGCACCGAGCAAAACACCCUGCCCAAAUCGUAUAAAUGCGUUCGAGAAGGCAGUCAGGUGUUUUGCAAAGAACCCAGCUGAAAAUGUGAUCACACCGGUUCUUGGUACUACUUUCGACUCUUUGGGCAAGGCGUAUGGAUUUCACAACUUUUUUUUUGCGAAUAGUAUGAAGUUUACAACUUGAACUCAUGGGAGAAGGGUUUUGGUAGGAAGAUGACAGGAAGCUCAGGGAGCAAGAGAAGGAUGUCGAGGUUGCGAGGAAGUGUCAGGAGGACACAGAGAGGAACACAAUGAAACAUUUUGUUGAAAUUUGUUGAUUAUUGGGCAUGUGGAAGAUGAUAGUUGUAUGUGUUGGUGCAGCCACAGAUGAGGAGAUCGCACACGCAUCUCGAGAUGUUACUGCUAGUGGGCCUGUAUAUAAUGUUGCUCAGGAAUCAACCCGGAAGGUGGUGGCAUGCCAGGUGGUUAGACAAGUUUGGAUGAUGGUGGCAUAUUGAUCGGAGCUGGCAAUUAAACUGCGGUGAUAAGUCCAAAAAACAAAAUCAAGAAAGAGAAUGAAAAUAUGAUUAUCGGGGAGUAUGACAUACCUAGUGACCCAAUGUGUGGUUCGCAGGGCGGAAUCGCAAUACUAGACGUGCCAGUGGUGGUGGGAGCAGCACUGUGAAGCAGUCUCGAUGCCGGAAGGGCAAUAAGAGAGCAAAAAGAAGAAGGAAUACGAGGUGGAGUUAGUUCGGUUCUCUAAUAUUGUUGAGAUGAUAUGCACAUGUCUCAGAGAGCUCAGAAAACAAUGGCACAAGCAGUGACGAUAGCAACAACGCUAGUGGUGAAGACGUGGGUUAUACUGGCCGCGCAAGUAAGGAAACAAAUAUUUGUGGAAGUACUUUAUUUUUGUUUGUUCAUGGAACCGUAUGUGCUAAACCUUGCAUCAUCAGGAUGUAAAACAGAGCCAACAGCCAAGGGUGCAACCAGAUGAAUUCGAAUAAUGAUCUCUCCUGAAAGUGUAGUCUGUAUUGUUUCGUGUGCUUUCUAGAACUGGUCGGUGCAAUCAUCAUGUUGUAGCUGCUGUGGGCAAAGAUUAUUGUGAUUUAGAUACACAGUCUGUGCAUGAGUAAUGUCUUUCCUGUGAAACAAAUUUAAUUAAGUGUCAAGUGUUGAGUCCCUAAA